rnacentral:rRNA from 1 species
GGUGGGCUGGAAAGUUAGUGGUGAAAUACCCGAGCUUAACGUGGGAACUGCCGUUGAUACUAUAUAUCUUGAAUGUCGUAGAGGUAAGCGGAAUAUGUCAUGUAGCGGUGAAAUGCUUAGAGAUGACAUAGAACACCAAUUGCGAAGGCAGCUUGCUAUGCGAUUAUUGACACUGAGGCACGAAAGCGUGGGUAGCAAACAG